rnacentral:rRNA from 1 species
CCCUUAGAUGUUCUGGGCCGCACGCGCGCUACACUGAUGAAUUCAACGAGUAUACUUUUCCUUUUGGAAAAUUCCUUGGUCGAGAGGCCUGGGUAAUCUUUUAAAUGUUCAUCGUGAUGGGGCUAGAUUAUUGCAAUUAUUAAUCUUAAACGAGGAAUUCCUAGUAAACGCAAGUCAUCAGCUUGCAUUGAUUACGUCCCUGCCCUUUGUACACACCGCCCGUCGCACCUACCGAUUGAAUGGUCCGGUGAAAACCUCGGAUUUCUGUUUAUUUCCAGCAAUGGAGAUUUACGGAGAGAAGUCGUUUAAACCUUACCAUUUAGAGGAAGGUGAAGUCGUAACA